CUUGUCCCGAAUUUUGACUCUGCC
rnacentral:miRNA from 1 species